rnacentral:rRNA from 1 species
AGAGUUUGAUCCUGGCUCAGAGUGAACGCUGGCGGCAGGCCUAACACAUGCAAGUCGAGCGGCAGCGGGAGGGUGCUUGCACCCUUGCCGGCGAGCGGCGGACGGGUGAGGAAUGCAUCGGAAUCUGCCUUCUUGUGGGGGAUAACCUGGGGAAACCCAGGCUAAUACCGCAUGCGCCCUACGGGGGAAAGCCGGGGACCUUCGGGCCUGGCGCGGGAAGAUGAGCCGAUGCCGGAUUAGCUAGUUGGCGGGGUAAAGGCCCACCAAGGCGACGAUCCGUAGCUGGUCUGAGAGGAUGAUCAGCCACACCGGGACUGAGACACGGCCCGGACUCCUACGGGAGGCAGCAGUGGGGAAUAUUGGACAAUGGGCGCAAGCCUGAUCCAGCCAUGCCGCGUGAGUGAAGAAGGCCUUCGGGUUGUAAAGCUCUUUUGUACGGGAAGAAACACGGCCGGCGAAUACCCGGCUGGACUGACGGUACCGUAAGAAUAAGCACCGGCUAACUUCGUGCCAGCAGCCGCGGUAAUACGAAGGGUGCAAGCGUUACUCGGAAUUACUGGGCGUAAAGCGUGCGUAGGUGGUGCGUUAAGUCCGAUGUGAAAGCCCUGGGCUCAACCUGGGAAUGGCAUGGGAUACUGGCGUGCUCGAGUACGGUAGAGGGUGGCGGAAUUCCCGGUGUAGCAGUGAAAUGCGUAGAGAUCGGGAGGAACAUCCGUGGCGAAGGCGGCCACCUGGACCAGUACUGACACUGAGGCACGAAAGCGUGGGGAGCAAACAGGAUUAGAUACCCUGGUAGUCG